rnacentral:rRNA from 1 species
UAAGGAAUAUUGGGCAAUGGGCGCGAGCCUGACCCAGCCAUGCCGCGUGCAGGAAGACGGCCUUAUGGGUUGUAAACUGCUUUUGUCAGGGGAUAAACCUAUCUACGAGUAGAUAGCUGAAAGUACCUGAAGAAUAAGCAUCGGCUAACUCCGUGCCAGCAGCCGCGGUAAUACGAAGGAUGCGAGCGUUAUCCGGAUUCAUUGGGUUUAAAGGGUGCGCAGGCGGGGCAUUAAGUCAGUGGUGAAAUAAGACGGCUCAACUGUCUGGCUGCCAUUGAUACUGAUGUUCUAGAGUGUAAUUGGAGUGGGCGGAAUGUGUCAUGUAGCGGUGAAAUGCUUAGAUAUGACACAGAACACCGAUCGCGAAGGCAGCUCACUAAGUUAAUACUGACGCUCAUGCACGAAAGCGUAGGGAUCAAACAG